rfam:Camelus ferus unplaced genomic scaffold scaffold140, whole genome shotgun sequence.
GGGAGUAUAGCUCACCUGGUAGAGUGCAUACUUGGCAUGCAUGAGGUCCUGGGUUCAAUCCCCAGUACCUCCU